rnacentral:rRNA from 1 species
CGGACCGGCGCGACGGGUGAGUAACGCGUAUGCAACCUGCCCGUUCAGCGGAUACCCGGAGAAAUCCGGCCUAAUACCGCAUGUGGCCAGGGGAGGCAUCUUCUUUCGGCCAAAGGAGGCGACUCCGGAGACGGAUGGGCAUGCGUGACAUUAGCUAGUUGGCGGGGUAACGGCCCACCAAGGCGACGAUGUCUAGGGGUUCUGAGAGGAAGGUCCCCCACACUGGUACUGAGACACGGACCAGACUCCUACGGGAGGCAGCAG